rnacentral:rRNA from 1 species
GACGAACGCUGGCGGCGUGCUUAACACAUGCAAGUCGAGCGGAAAGGCCCUUCGGGGUACUCGAGCGGCGAACGGGUGAGUAACACGUGAGUAACCUGCCCUAGGCUUUGGGAUAACCCCGGGAAACCGGGGCUAAUACCGGAUAUGACCUGGUGCCGCAUGGUGUUGGGUGGAAAGUUUUUUCGGCCUGGUAUGGGCUCGCGGCCUAUCAGCUUGUUGGUGGGGUGAUGGCCUACCAAGGCGAUGACGGGUAGCCGGCCUGAGAGGGCGACCGGCCACACUGGGACUGAGACACGGCCCAGACUCCUACGGGAGGCAGCAGUGGGGAAUAUUGCACAAUGGGCGGAAGCCUGAUGCAGCGACGCCGUGUGAGGGAUGAAGGCCCUCGGGUUGUAAACCUCUUUCAGCAGGGACGAAGCGUGAGUGACGGUACCUGCAGAAGAAGCGCCGGCCAACUACGUG